CGAUUCAGGGAUAGAAACUGUAGCACAUCAGGUCUUGAAUAUCAAGAUGAAAACAGUUUACCAGAAGAAGUAGAAGAUGCUCGGAUAUUAACGGAGUUGUUAUCAAAAAUUCAGCCCGUCAAGGUGGUCGAGGGGAGUGCCAGGAGUGCCUUGAUAAGGUGGAGUCACCCAGAGGACGACAGUGAAAAACUAAAAGACUACGAUAUUGAUCCAUUGUCAGACUACAAGUACAAACUCUUUCUGUCGGAUAAAGGCAGGGAUGGCAAAUAUCGCAUCAUCUACAGUGGGGAUGCCUUGGAGCAUCUAAUGAAGGAUUUGAAACCUGCCACUGAGUACUGGAUAUACAUUUCAGCAUUGUUGGAUGACCUCAAGGGAGACAGAUCAGAAAUGGUGAGCUUCACAACAAUUUCCUGUGAGCCAGAAACACCACAGCCACCAAAAUUUGUCAACAGGACCAAAACCAGCAUAUCCUUGAAAUGGAAUUCCACUGCCGAUAAUGGUUCUAAGAUGCUUGGCUAUUGCCUUGAGUACGACGAGGGAAAAGGUGAAGACAAUUUCACGGAGAUAUACUGUGACCUCACACGGCAGUUCAAAGUCACCAAAUUACAGGCUUCCACAUGUUACCGCUUCCGACUUUACGCUGUCAAUGAGAUUGGCAAAAGUGAUUACAGUGACAUAGUUUGCUAUUCCACAAGUGGCAGUGUUCCGUCGCAACCAGAUGCCCCACAAUUGAAAGAUGCAUUUAUUUCAAAGCUUGCACUGGUUUGGAGCAGGCGACCAAGCGAUGAUGACUUCACGUUACAAAUGGAGGAUGAUUUAUCGGGCCAUGGCUUCCUUCCUGUGUACAAUGGCAGAGACACGAUGUAUGCCAUGGGGGGGCUGAGGAGAAAUACUGCGUAUACAUUUAAACUGUGUGCACACAAUGAGGAGGGGCAGAGUAAAUGGAGCGAAACAGUCGUGUUUAAGACACGGCCAGACAAGCCCGGCGCACCCUCUAAACCAAUCCUCAAAGGUAGAAUACACGCCAACAGCUUUAAGGUUUCAUGGGAUCUGCCAAAGGAUAAUGGUGGUGCUGAAAUAUCACAGUAUAUGUUGGAACUGGAUGAUGGCAGGGGGUUUGAAGUGAUCUACACAGGAGCUGAGCUUGAAUUUCACUGUGAUCACUUGGAGCCUGGUCACACGUACAAGCUGUGCACACUCUGCUCCAGUGCCGGCGGUUACAGCGAUUGUUCUGAGGUGACUAGCAUCACAACACUCGCCGUUCUACCUGGCUCCUGUCAACCACCGAAGCUGCAGGGCAAACCGAAAGCCACGUCAAUGCAUCUCAAGUGGAGUUGUCCGUCGUAUACAGGUGGCGCUGCGAUCAGCGAGUACGAGGUUUGCAUGACGAUGCCGGACAAUACGACGCGAUACGUGUAUAAAGGCUACGACACAGACUGUGCAGUAGCUGGGCUUCUACCAGGCAGAGUCUACCUUUUCCAAGUGCGAGCGUACAAUAAGGCAGGGGCGGGUCAGUGGUCAGAUCCUCUGGAGGCGGUCAGUGGUGCAGGACCGCCCGACCGCUGCAAGGAAGUCCAGGUACAAGCCAAGUCUCCUCACUCGCUGUUUGUGUCAUGGGAGGAGCCGGUGAACAAUGGUGCAACUAUCACAGAGUUCCGCCUGGAGUGGCUCAAUCAGAGAGACUGCGCAGACUUUGUACAGCUGUAUGUGGGAGCUGCCCUCAGCUAUGAGGUCAAGGCUCUCUCCCCAGCCUCACAGUAUUCCUUCAGAGUUCAGGCGAUCAACACGGCUGGUGCGGGACCGUUUAGCCCCGCAGCCUCCUGCACCACACCACCAUCAUCGCCCGCCGCCAUCUCAUCCACAUCCAUCAAACACGUCGUCAUGGCAACCAGCAUCACGCUAACGUGGCGUGCGCCGAGCGCUCACGGAGCUGACAUUUCAUCUUACAACAUCGACUGUAACGGCAACUUGAUCUCAGUGUUCGACACGGACCUGCUGGAAUACUGCGUCGAUAGUCUCACACCUGAGACUGUCUACAGGAUUCGUGUGCAGGCUGUCAAUAGUGUGGGUGUUGGACCAUUUAGCACACCACUGAAGAUCCAAACACGCUCCCUACCACCGCUUCCACCGAGGAUAGAGUGCGCUAGCAGCAGCUACAACAAUCUCAAGCUCAAGUGGGGCGAUGGCAAGAACACAGAUUUCACUCAGUACAUACUCGAGAUGUCAGGUCGCAGUGGAAGCUUUGCCCCGAUAUACAAUGGAACAAGUCAGACCUUCAAAGUGAAUAAAUUGACAGAACAAACUUCGUACAGCUUCCGAAUAUUCGCAGUGAAUGAUGCUGGAAACGGACCCUACUCAGAAGAAUAUGUCUUCACUACAUCCAAAGCCCCUCCUCCUGCACUCAAAGCACCAAGAAUCUGGGACGUGAGUGAGAACAGUUGUAAAGCCGAGUGGUCGGUAGCGAAACCGAUGGGGGAUGACCUCUUGCUGUACCAACUACAGCUACACAGCAGUCUAAACGACGAAUUCAGAACGAUAUAUAAGGGGUCGGAGACAUCGUACACGGUCGAGGACCUGGAACCUAAGACUGAGUACCGAGCACGCAUCGGUGCGGUGCGUGUCAGCUCUGAUGGGUCGGGGGAGCUUAUAGGUACCUACAGCCCCAUCACCAGCUUCACCAGCAAGAGUGUGGAGCUAGUUAAGACAGCCAGCAGCAAGACGUCUGCGAUGACAGCGGUGGUGAUCGAGCGUAAGCCGCUCACGGAUAAGCAGUGGGCAAGCAUCCUGCUGCUCUGCUUCAUCAUCGUCGGCAUCCUCAUCGCGAUCCUCGUCCAGCAGAUUCUGUCCUACUCACGACAAGUCGUCUCAUGAACGCAGCACCCGCACGGUGCUGCCGACUGCUGGCGGUGAGGUAAGGAGGUGUCGUGAGUGCACUGCUGCGUACACGGUGCGCGCUGGCAUGCGACGACACUGUACGCACGGUGGCAGUAGGUGUCUGCGUGUGUCCCAGCGGUGCACAGUCAGUCAUCUCCCUCCCUCGUCACGAAUGCCUGGAGUCAGAGCCCCCCCCCCACACACACACGCUGGCUCCCCCUGCUGGCAGGAACAAUGACAUUCCUCACGUAGCAUGCUUCCCGCCGCCGUACAGGAGCGUUGCAUCGACAUGUCAUUUAUUUCUGUUGUCCUGACUUCACGUGGUCUAAUGCGCAUAUUGUGCAUUGUAUCACAGCAUGCUGCACCAGGAGCUGACCACGCUGUUGCGGUUGCUGCUGCACGUUGUCGUGGUUACGAUGUCAAUGCUGCUGCUGCUGUAGCGCGUUGUCAUGGUUACGAUAUCAAUGCUGCUGCUGCUGUAGCGCGUUGUUGUGGUUACGAUGUCGGUGACACGCGGCAAUGCAAGAUUAAGAGGCUGUGGAUGAUCUUGUCACUGUCACUGUACCGUCUCUCUGUCUGUAUCACUGGGAGAUAACAGUGUUGUUAUGAGGAGGUUUACAUGUGUAACUCGUCUGUAUAGUUGGCACAUGCAGUAUUAAUCCUACGAACAAGAUUCGUUAUAUUGUGAGAAUUGCAAUCGUUUACCGUCUCAGCUAAUCGUGCCAUUUUAUGUUGCUAUUGUUUACGAGGUGUUAUUACCAGGGUAAAAUCUAAAGGCAUUCCCUGCUUUCACUAAAAGCAAUCGUAGUUCUUGAAGUAUUAGUGUACCAUAUGAAGUGUAGCUGUUGGCAUUACAACCUCGUCAGAUUCAGUUUCAGUCUAGUAAUUAUAUUUAAUUGAAUUCGUCUUACAGAUUUGUAGUAGUGAUGCACGUAUGUAGUCAUAAACAGCAGAGUACACUAGUUGUAUACAACAAUGCUACCAGCAUGCAGAAUGGUGUCCAUCCCCAGGAGACAAUAAUUGCAGAUUGACACACAGCACGAGUGAAAACUAAAGGUGAGAUCAAAUAUGUUCCCCGUGUGAAGAAUAUAUUCGACGAUAUGUAACAGACGGGAAAGAACGUUCGAACGGGCGUAUCAUGAUCGGCUGCUCAGCGUCGCGUCGCUGCGUAACGCUGAUAGGGUCUAUGUCUCCCUGGGUACUGCCGGAACGUACCCUGGUAACUAUCUGAUAUGGUUAGGG
rnacentral:misc_RNA from 1 species